GCCCGCCUAGCUCAAUCGGAUAGAGCGUCAGACUUUUACAAUCCGUACGAGUCGUACGUGGCGGUGUGAUCUGAAGGCUGCGAGUUCGACCCUCGCGGUGGGCU
rfam:Pisolithus tinctorius Marx 270 unplaced genomic scaffold scaffold_39, whole genome shotgun sequence.